rnacentral:rRNA from 1 species
AACGAACGCUGGCGGCAUGCCUAACACAUGCAAGUCGAACGAGACCUUCGGGUCUAGUUGCGCACGGGUGCGUAACGCGUGGGAACCUGCCCUUAGGUUCGGAAUAACUCCCCGAAAGGGGUGCUAAUACCGGAUAAUGUCUUCGGACCAAAGAUUUAUCGCCGUUGGAUGGGCCCGCGUUGGAUUAGCUAGUUGGUAGGGUAAAAGCCUACCAAGGCGACGAUCCAUAGCUGGUCUGAGAGGAUGAUCAGCCACACUGGGACUGAGACACGGCCCAGACUCCUACGGGAGGCAGCAGUGGGGAAUAUUGGACAAUGGGCGAAAGCCUGAUCCAGCAAUGCCGCGUGAGUGAUGAAGGCCUUAGGGUUGUAAAGCUCUUUUACCCGGGAUGAUAAUGACAGUACCGGGAGAAUAAGCUCCGGCUAACUCCGUG